AGAAUCAACGCUGGCGGCGUGCCUAACACAUGCAAGUCGCACGAGAAAGGGGAGCAAUCCCUGAGUAAAGUGGCGCACGGGUGAGUAACACGUGAAUCAUCUACCUCCGAGUGGGGAAUAACCUAGAGAAAUCUGGGCUAAUACCGCAUAACACUUACGAGUCAAAGCAGCAAUGCGCUUGGAGAGGAGUUCGCGGCCGAUUAGUUAGUUGGCGGGGUAAUGGCCCACCAAGACGAUGAUCGGUAUCCGGCCUGAGAGGGCGCACGGACACACUGGAACUGAAACACGGUCCAGACUCCUACGGGAGGCAGCAGUGGGGAAUUUUGCGCAAUGGGGAAACCCUGACGCAGCAACGCCGCGUGGAGGAUGAAAUAUCUUGGUAUGUAAACUCCUUUCGAUGGGGAAGAUUAUGACGGUACCCAUAGAAGAAGCCCGGCUAACUUCGUGCCAGCAGCCGC
rnacentral:rRNA from 1 species